UACGUAGGGUCCGAGCGUUGUCCGGAAUUACUGGGCGUAAAGCGUGCGCAGGCGGUUUCGUAAGUUUGUCGUGAAAUCCCCGGGCUUAACCUGGGAAUUGCGAUGAAGACUGCAAGGCUAGAAUCUGGCAGAGGGGGGUAGAAUUCCACGUGUGAGCAGUGAAAUGCGUAGAGAUGUGGAGGAACACCGAUGGCGAAGGCAGCCCCCUGGGUCAAGAUUGACGCUCCAUGCACGAAAGCGUGGGGAGCAAACAGGG
rnacentral:rRNA from 1 species